GCACGUACUCAAAUUGUGGAAGGAAGAAAAAAGAGAAAAACAAAGAGAAAGAGAGAGAUAUUGUAAAUUCCUUUUCCCUUAUUUUUUGUAUUCAUUGAAUCUUUUUCGAAGAUAUUGGAGUCUUCUUUUUCCCAAAGAAUUUAA
rnacentral:ribozyme from 14 species